CAAUAGCGUAUAUUAAAGCUGUUGCGGUUAAAAAGCUCGUAGUUGGAUUUCUGUCAAGGACAACUGGUCCGCCCCUCGGGUGAGCACAUAGUUUGGUCUUGGCAUCUUGUUGGAAACUGUUGCUGCACUUGGUUGUGUGGCGCAGUGUCCAGCACUUUCACUUUGAGGAAAUUGGAGUGUUUCAAGCAGGCACAUGCCUUUGGACACAGUAGCAUGGAAUAAUUAGAUUGGGCUUUUGCUCCGACUUGUCGGUUUCUGGAGCUGAGGUGAGAAUUAAUGGGGAUUGUUGGGGGCAUCCGAAUUUAGCCGUCAGAGGUGAAAUUCUUGGAUCUGCUAAAGACGGACAACUGCGAAAGCGUUUGCCCAGGAUGUUUUCAUUGA
rnacentral:rRNA from 1 species